ACCAAUCAAUUUUUUAAUUUCCUUCUGUAAACGGGAGUGAAUCGGGGUGGAUUUGAAAUCUCAUUAGUCAAAAAUCUGAAAUUACAACAGGCUGAGUGGAGCGGGAAUGAGCCUGUGUGUUGCUCAAGCUGUGAAGAGCCAAGUUACAGAAGAGGUAGAGGAAAUAUGACAGGGCUCAAACAACGGCUGCUGAAUUAUAAUAUUUCUGAAGGCCCUAAAGUAUGCUCUUUCUUCCCUCACCCCCUUGCCCCUGAGCCAGUCAGGGAUGAGACUGGCAGAGCACUACUACUACAUCCCUUCUGCUUUCUGUCAUAAACCUGGAACACUCUAGCAUGAUUAAAGAGAUUCAAACAAU
rnacentral:lncRNA from 1 species